GAAGGGCUAGUUAAAAUAAUAAUUUGUGUUUGUCGGGCACAGGUUGCUGGUUUGGUUCAGCGUUCUUUU
rnacentral:tRNA from 1 species